AAAGCAAGUUUUGAUGGAGUUGC
rnacentral:miRNA from 2 species